GUCCAGUCAGCCGACAGGUCCAGUCCCGGUGGGCUUGCACACUGGGGGCUUCAGUUUGUGUGCUUUUAUCAUCCUUGCCCCUUCUUUGGGCGGGCACCCGAACUUAUUUGGCCAAUUCGGUGUAAU